GACUUGGGUGGGAUAACAAGCUGAAUACUGUUGAUGCUUCGAGCGAUUGGUGGAACACUCACAUUGAGGUAAUUUUUUAUUUGUACAUAUUUUUUUUAAGUUUGUUUCUGUUAUGCUAAUUCAUUGUUACUUGUAAAAAUUUCAGAAAUAUCCAGAUCAUGCAAGGUAUAGGAAUGGAGGACCGGCCAAUUUGGAUGAGAUGGAUAUCAUGUUUGAUGAUCAUCAUGUCACCGGCGCUACAUCCGCUAUUCCUGGAGAAGUAUCAUCUAAUGUUGUUGAUCUUGCUGCUGCUUAUACCGAUGAAGAUGAUGUACCUAUGCAAAAAUAGACCGGGAAGCGAAAAAAGUCCUCUCAUGAUGAUUUCGCAGCAAUGGAAGAGAAGAACCCAUUUUUUCGGAUGUACAAGAAGGCUACUGAUGCGAUAUGUGUUACUGCUGAGGCGACUACAACCAAUAGGACUCCUCCUUCGACCGCCCCUAGUAUGUUGGAGGCAAUGG
rnacentral:lncRNA from 1 species